UACGUAGGUGGCAAGCGUUGUCCGGAAUUACUGGGUGUAAAGCGCGUGUAGGCGGCAGGCCAAGUCUGCGGUGAAAGCGCCCGGCUCAACUGGGCGAGGUCCGUGGAAACUGGUCAGCUGGAGGACGGUAGAGGCGAGUGGAAUUCCCGGUGUAGUGGUGAAAUGCGUAGAGAUCGGGAGGAAUACCUGUGGCGAAGGCGGCCUACUGGGCCGGACCUGACGCUGAGACGCGAAGGCGUGGGGAGCGAACAGG
rnacentral:rRNA from 1 species